rnacentral:rRNA from 1 species
UACGUAGGGUGCGAGCGUUGUCCGGAAUUACUGGGCGUAAAGAGCUCGUAGGUGGUUUGUCGCGUCGUCUGUGAAAUUCCGGGGCUUAACUUCGGGCGUGCAGGCGAUACGGGCAUAACUUGAGUACUGUAGGGGAGACUGGAAUUCCUGGUGUAGCGGUGAAAUGCGCAGAUAUCAGGAGGAACACCGGUGGCGAAGGCGGGUCUCUGGGCAGUAACUGACGCUGAGGAGCGAAAGCAUGGGUAGCGAACAGGAUUAGAUACCCGU